GACGAACGCUGGCGGCGUGCCUAACACAUGCAAGUCGAGCGGAGGUAAGCGGAUGGUAACUGAAGCUUACUUUAGCGGCGGACGGGUGAGUAACACGUGGGCAACCUGCCUCGAAGAGGGGGAUAACACCGAGAAAUCGGUGCUAAUACCGCAUAACAUACAACUCCUGCAUGGGAGAUGUAUCAAAGGAGAAAUCCGCUUUGAGAUGGGCCCGCGGCUGAUUAGCUAGUUGGUGAGGUAAUGGCUCACCAAGGCGACGAUCAGUAGCCGACCUGAGAGGGUGAUCGGCCACACUGGAACUGAGACACGGUCCAGACUCCUACGGGUGCUG
rnacentral:rRNA from 1 species